rnacentral:rRNA from 1 species
GUGACCUGCGGANGNUCAUUAUUGAAAAUAAACCUGANNAGUUGCUGCUGGUUCUCUAGGGAGCAUUGUGCACACUUGUCAUUUUUAUAUCUCCACCUGUGCACCUUUUGUAGACCUGAAUAAUUUUUCUGACUGGGUAAGUCAGGUUUGGAGGAAUUGACUUUUAGUCUUUCCUUGCUUGUUCAGGUCUAUGUUUCUUCAUAUACUCCUUAAUGUAUGUCAUAGAAUGUAAUAGGCCCUCUGUGCCUAUAAUUUAUACAACUUUCAGCAACGGAUCUCUUGGCUCUCGCAUCGAUGAAGAACGCAGCGAAAUGCGAUAAGUAAUGUGAAUUGCAGAAUUCAGUGAAUCAUCGAAUCUUUGAACGCACCUUGCGCUCCUUGGUAUUCCGAGGAGCAUGCCUGUUUGAGUGUCAUUAAUAUAUCAACCUCUUCAGCUUUUGCUUGUUGAGUGUUGGAUGUGGGGGUGUUUUUGCUGGCCUUUUGAGGUCAACUCCCCUGAAAUGCAUUAGCAGAACAAUUUGUUGACUCCGUUCAUUGGUGUGAUAAUUAUCUACGCUAUUGAUGGGUGAAGGCAGAGUUCAGCUCCUAACAGUCCAUUGACUUGGACAACUUUUUCAUUUAAUGUGACCUCAAAUCAGGUAGGACUACCCGCUGAACUUAAGCAUAU